UUUGGCCCAGGAGGGAACAGUGAAUACGGUGGAGUGUCAUUCCAACAGACAGGUGCCACAUGUACGAUUGAUCUUAAUGGUGGUUGGAGUUGAUGUCCUCAAGAGGUUUUAAUGGAAUAUUGGAGUACAAAUAAAAGGUUGCAUGCACCAUUUACAGUACCACAGAUACUGAACCAGUCCACAUACAAAUGCAGCAAGAUCCGGACAAUAUCCAGGCUUGUGCUAAAAGGUGGUGAGUAAAGUAUGUGCAAAACCAAUGCCAGUCAAUGACUAUUUCAACAAGAGAGAGCCUGAUCAUCAUCCCUUGACAUUCAAUCGCAUUACCAUGAUUAGAUCUCCCACUAUCAACAUCCUGGUCAUUACUACUGAACAGAAAUUGAUAUGGACAGUGGGCUUGGUGACGUUGUGCAAUGAUAACAGCUUCUCUCUCAAUGUUAGUCAAACUAAAGAGCUGAUCAUUGACUUCAGGAAGGAAAAGGAGAACACACCCCCAUCUACACCAACAUAGCAGAUGGAGAGUCAUGUUCCUCAGAGUGACGAUAACUGACAACCUGUCCUGGCCUUCCCACAUAGAUGUGAUGGUCAAGAAGGUACAACAACACCUCUUCUCCCUCAGGCAGCUCAGGGAAUUUGGAAUGUCCUUAAGGACCCUCACUCACAUUUACAGAUGCACCAUUGAGAGUGUACUGUCCGGGUGUAUAACAGCCUCGUAUAGCAACUGCUCUGCCCAGGACAGUAAGAACCUCCAGAAGAUGGUCUGCACAGCCCAGACCAUCACAGAAACCGACCUCCCAUCCACGGACUCCAUUUACACAGCUCACUGCCGCAGAAAGGCUGCCAACAUCAUCAAAGACCCCUCCCACCUGAGGAAUGCUCUCCUCCAACCUCUUCUGUCAGGCAAGAGAUACAGAAGCUUGAACACACGCACCAACAGGUUCAGGAACAACUUCUUCCCGGCUGUUAUUGGGCUGAUAAGUGGACUCUCUAACUUCAAAUAAUGCUGAUCUUGCUAAUGUUGAUCUCGCCGAGCACAGGUCCUGCGCGAUGUAUUCCUGUACGCCUCUGUCUAGCUUUUUACACCCACGAUCUCUAUGUCAUUGCUUACAAUGAUCUGCCUGGACCGAUUGUGAACAAAGCUUUUCACUGUACUUUAGGUACACAUGACA